AUCCAACUGAAGAGUCUCAAAUAAGACGAAAUGUGCGUCUUAGGU
rnacentral:hammerhead_ribozyme from 1 species